rnacentral:rRNA from 1 species
AAGUCGUAACAAGGUUUCCGUAGGUGAACCUGCGGAAGGAUCAUUAUCGAAUAUAAACUUGGGUAGACUGUUGCUGGCUUCUCUUCGAGAGGGGCAUGUGCACGUUUAUCCUCUUUAUUUUUCCACCUGUGCACCUUUUGUAGGCUUGGAUUAUCAGUGGUUCUAAUGUGUCUUUUCAAAAGGCAUAAGAAUUGUUUUGGGACUGCUGUGUUUAAACACAUGUUUAUCGGCUUUCCCUUUUAUUUUCCAAGUCUAUGUUUGCUAUAUACACUCCAGAAAUGUAAUAGAAUGCUGUACUUUAGGUCAUUCAUACCUAUAAUAAAAUCAGUACAACUUUCAGCAACGGAUCUCUUGGCUCUCGCAUCGAUGAAGAACGCAGCGAAAUGCGAUAAGUAAUGUGAAUUGCAGAAUUCAGUGAAUCAUCGAAUCUUUGAACGCACCUUGCGCUCCUUGGUAUUCCAAGGAGCAUGCCUGUUUGAGUAUCAUUAAAUUAUCAACUGUACCAAUUUGGUUGCAGAUUGGAUGUGGGAGAUUUUGCAGGCUUUUGAUUUCUCUUUGAGAAAAGGGUCAGCUCUCCUGAAAUAUAUUAGCAGUGCCUUUGUUGGUUCAUUAGGUGUGAUAAUUUAUCUACAUCUUCACAUGGUACCUUCAUUUGUAAAAGGUCAUAUUGCUUCUAAUUGUCUUUGGACAAAAAAAACAUAUAAUGUAUGAAAAACUUGAUCUCAAAUCAGGCAGGACUACCCGCUGAACUUAAGCAUAUCAAUAAGCGGAGGAAAAGAAACUAACAAGGAUUCCCCUAGUAACUGCGAGUGAAGCGGGAAAAGCUCAAAUUUAAAAUCUGACAGUUGUUCUGGCUGUCCGAGUUGUAAUCUAGAGAAGUGUUGCCCGCGCUGGACCGUGUACAAGUCUCCUGGAAUGGAGCAUCAUAGAGGGUGAGAAUCCCGUCUUUGACAUGGACUACCAGGGCUUUGUGGUGCGCUCUCGAAGAGUCGAGUUGUUUGGGAAUGCAGCUCAAAAUGGGUGGUAAAUGCCAUCUAAAGCUAAAUAUUGGCGAGAGACCGAUAGCGAACAAGUACCGUGAGGGAAAGAUGAAAAGAACUUUGGAAAGAGAGUUAAACAGUACGUGAAAUUGCUGAAAGGGAAACGCUUGAAGUCAGUCGCAUCGACUGGAAAUCAACCUUGCUUUUGCUUGGUGUAUUUUCUGGCUUGAUGGGUCAGCAUCAAUUUUGAUCGCUGGAUAAAGGCUUGGGGAAUGUGGCAUCUUAGGAUGUGUUAUAGCCCUUGGUUGCAUACAGCGGUUGGGAUUGAGGAACUCAGCACGCCGCGAGGCCGGGUUUCGACCACGUUUACGUGCUUAGGAUGCUGGCAUAAUGGCUUUAAUCGACC